rnacentral:rRNA from 1 species
UACAGAGGUCCCGAGCGUUGUUCGGAUUCACUGGGCGUAAAGGGUGCGUAGGUGGCCGGUUAAGUCUGACGUGAAAUCUCCGAGCCUAACUCGGAAACUGCGUCGGAAACUAUCCGGCUCGAGGGUUGGAGGGGGGACUGGAAUACUUGGUGUAGCAGUGAAAUGCGUAGAUAUCAAGUGGAACACCAGUGGCGAAGGCGACACGCUGGGCCGUACCUGACACUGAUGCGCGACAGCAUGGGGAGCAAACAGG